GACGAACGCUGGCGGCGUGCUUAACACAUGCAAGUCGAACGGAAAGGCCCUGCUUUUGUGGGGUGCUCGAGUGGCGAACGGGUGAGUAACACGUGAGUAACCUGCCCUUGACUUUGGGAUAACUUCAGGAAACUGGGGCUAAUACCGGAUAGGAGCUCCUGCUGCAUGGUGGGGGUUGGAAAGUUUCGGCGGUUGGGGAUGGACUCGCGGCUUAUCAGCUUGUUGGUGGGGUAGUGGCUUACCAAGGCUUUGACGGGUAGCCGGCCUGAGAGGGUGACCGGCCACAUUGGGACUGAGAUACGGCCCAGACUGCUAAGGGAGGCAGCAGGGGGGAAUAUUGCACAAUGGGCGGAAGCCUGAUGCAGCAACGCCGCGUGCGGGAUGACGGCCUUCGGGUUGUAAACCGCUUUCGCCUGUGACGAAGCGUGAGUGACGGUAAUGGGUAAAGAAGCACCGGCUAACUACGUG
rnacentral:rRNA from 1 species